rnacentral:tRNA from 1 species
GGGCCUGUGGCUCAAAGGAGUAGGGUCCCAGCCUUGUAUGCUGGAGGUGGUGGGUUCAAUCAGAUCCAGGCCCA